CGGAACGGGCCGCGCGGAGGGACAAGAGACUCCUCCCCCGACGCAGAUACCGAACGCGCGCGCCCCGCUCCGGCAGGGACGGGCCGGAACAGCCUCAGCCCCGCCCACCUCACGUGGCGGGGAGCGUCCUGCUUUUUGUGAGGCGGAAGGGCCUUGUUUGGGAGCCAGGUGGCUAGGUUCCUGGAAUACUGCAGGCGGGAUGCAGGGGGCUCAAGUUAGUAAAGUGUUACUUUAGGUUUUUGUAUUGUCAAUAGUGUUUCAGAGCAGUGUUGAUCAAAUUAACUACUUUUAUUUCUCUUGUGCCCUUCAUUUGUUUUUGGGGGAGGAAAGGGGGAGGAUAUGUGCCUGUGCCUGCGAUUAGUAUUUCUUCUUCCCUGGCUAUUAAGGAGCAGUCCGUAGUGAAUUAUGUUAAUUUUUAUAUGGACACAGAGCAAUUGUACCUUUUGGGUGACAAAUGGGAGACAGUACUGAAGGGAAUAUUGGCUCUAUCAAGUAAUGAAAUAGGAACAUAUAUAUGCAUAUAUAGCUACCGAUGAAAUGGAGGAAGCAAAGGGCACCUUUAUUUUGCUUUACUCUGCAUUGAAAUCAGUAAAAGGACAUCCUGAAAUAAGAGAAGAAUAAGGAGAAAUGAGGGGAUCUGAAACAAUAAAAGGUAAAACGAAUUGAAAAAGUAAACAAGGUAAGACAUAAUUUUUAAGAAUUGUGAAAUUCAGGGGCUCCUGGGUGGCUCAAUCAGUUAAGCAUCUGACUCUUGGUUUCGGCUCAGGUCAUGAUCUCACAGUUCGUGAAUUGCAUUCCUGCUCUGUGCUGUCAGUGCUGUGCCUGCUUGGGAUUCUCCCUCUCUCUCCCUCUCUGUCUGGCCCUCCCCUGCUUGUACUCUCUCUCUCAAAAUAAAUAAUAAAUAAAAUUAAAAAAAUAGAAAUGAAAUUCAGAGGCCAAGAAGAAAGGGCAUCCCCAGUAAUGGUUUGGUGAGAGAGCUAGGCUUGGGAACUGCCCAUUGUCAAAGGAAGUUGGAGUUGGUCUGAUUCCAGUGCUCUUGGCAUCUCACACAGCUCUUUGGCAAGAGAGUCUCCUCUGGAGGCUGCUAACCACUUAGUAUCCCUCAGAGGGAGUUUAUGAAGAACAUUAGGUAAGAUAGAGCCUUGUUUAACUUAGUUUCUAUAUUCAGUUUUGCUACUAAGAAUUUCAUAAAUUGCCAAUAUUUUCUUUUUGUUAUUUUAACAUCGUGAUGUUUGUUUAGAAAGACAGUGAGAAUUAGAAUGAGAUAUAUUUUAGGCCUGACUAAAAUAUGAUCAGGGCCUAGAAACAUCUCUCCAGACAUCUCAUUAUUUUGACUUAGCCUAGGAAGCUCAAGAAAACUGUUUCCAAACCACCCAGUUGUUAUAUGCUACUCCCUUGAUAGCACGCUGCUUCAGUCCAUCUAACUCCCUGCUUCUGUUUCUGCCUUGAGAAAAGAAGGCAUCUAAUGUGGAGUAACCGAAAAUCAAAAGAAACAUGCUCACAGAAAAUAUGGCUAAAAGAACUGGGCUUCCUAAGGAUGGUCAGUGUGAUUCUCCCUCCACCACACUGUCUAGAGCUUUGGUGGAAAGAGGACCCUCUCCAGCCAUCCUUCUCAGAGUGUAGAGAGGGAGACACAGAAUCCGAAGCAGGCUCCAGGCUCUGAGCUGUCAGCAAAGAACCCAACGCAGGGCUUGAACUCAUAGACCGCAAGACCAUGACCUGAGUCGAAGUCGGACGUUCAACCAACUGAGCCACCCAGGCGCCCCAAUAAUUUUCUAUUUUGAUAUACUUUCAAACUUACAGAAAUGUUUCAGGAAUAGUACAAAGAACUAGAAAUACCCACAUAACCUAUACCCAGAUUCAAUUAUUUACAUUUUGUCCCAUUUGCUUCCCCUCUUAUAUACUUGCAUAUUGUUCUUUUUUUCCUGAAUCAUUUGAAAGUAAAUCAAAGAGAUCACAAAUUUUACCCUUAAAUAAUUUACUGUGUGUUUCCUAAGAGCAUGUUCUUUCUCUUACCUAUCGACAACAUAGUUAUCAAAAUGACAUUUCCUUACUUUUUCCCUAUUCAAGAUCCAAACCAGGAGCAAGAUUUACAUUUAUGCAAUUUUUGUGUCUCUUUGGUAUCUUUUCAUCACUAUUUUUCCUUCCUAGUUAACAGGUAAUUUGUGAAGAGAUACUUUGAGACUACAUAAAUAUCCUGUUCAUCAAACUUUUAUCUACUAGAUUUGAUGUCUGCUCAUGGCUUUCUAACUCCAUUUUUUCUUCAUUUAUUGGUCUUCAUUCUACCAUAAAAAGUACAUUUCCUUUUUCCUGCAUUUAUUUUUUUUACUCAUCCGUGUCUUUAUGUCAGUAUGGAGUCAUGGAUUCUUACUCACCAGGUUACUUACUCACCAGUUUAUAAUCCAUUACUAUCAGUAUUUAUUUUAGUGGUCAAAUAGCCCCAGGUUCAGCCAGUGGGAGCCUUUUUGAGUUGACUUUUAUAUUCAUUUGACAUGUUCCUUUAUUCUUUACUUCCUUACUUUCUGUCACAACAAGAGGUUCCAGGCUUAUCUUGUACUUUUCAUGUCUUAGUACUGGUAUCGUCUAAUUCUCCUAGGAAUUCUGAUUCCAUUUAGUGGAGAAUAAAUUUAGAAGCCAAGACCUGGAAAGUAGGCAUGUCAUUGCUACUGGGGUGUCUUUGCUCCUCUGCCUUCUCAGUGAAUAGAAAAUAUACAUGUAUGUGUGUGUGUGUGUGUGUGUGCGCGCGCACGCACGUGUGUGAAAACUUCCUCCAGUUAUCUUCAACAUAUUUAUUCGUUUGCUCAAGCCUAGAGUAUACAAAAGAGAAUUUCAGAAUUGAUAAACCACAGCAAACCUACUAAUUAGAGUUUAAUAUUUACUAAGUUUUCUGUUUGAGGUAAAUUGAAUAAAUUGAAAUAUAUAAAUCAUAAAGAUACAAUUCAAUGAGGUCUGAAAAAAUAAUAUACCCAUGUAGCCCUAUCCAUAACAAGAUAUAAAACAUAUUCCUUACCAAAAAAGUUCUCUAAUUCCUCUUCCUGGCUAAUGAACUCUCUCAAACCCCUAGAAAACCACUCUUCUAAUUUUCUUCACCUUAGAUUGCUUUUUGCCUUUUGAAAAACUUCACAUAAAUGUAAUAAUGUGUGUGUGUGUGUGUGUGUGUGUGU